GUGCUCACUUUGGCAGCACAUAUACUAUUAAAAUUGGAAUAAUACAGAUAAGAUUAGUAUGACCAUUACAAGAAUAACAUGCAAAUUCAUUCAACACUCCAUGAUAUU
ensembl:snRNA U6 U6 spliceosomal RNA